GUUUUCGGGAAGGAAUCCCGUGGAGGAGGGGUCCGCGAUGAUCUGGGGUCUCUCUGGCACUCUCUGUUUCUCUGCGUCUGUUAUGUGGGAUUGGAAAGCUCCGCAUUCUGUAGAGCGUUACGGUGUUGUUCUAGCGCCGCAUCACUGUUUGUGCGUUUGGGGGAGGUUAGGGCGUACUGUGGGGUUCUCUGGCUGUGUGCAUGGGCGUGCGGUGUUGUCGCUCCUCUUGCCGCGAUUCCUUGUGCCUUGUCUGCUGAGCUGUUGCACAAUUAGGUGUUCUCUUUUUUUCACGUUGCUGCUAUCAACGUCUCGCUUUGUGAGCUAGGAAUUUUUUUGACUUCAGGUUCAUGUUUUCUUCCUGGUUUCGGAUUCCAACUCGCCAAUUCUAUUCUAUUCUCUUCGCUGGUGGUCUUCCCAGGUACAAGAACACAGCUCACCAGCGGUCGACUACUGGUGAGCUGUGUUCUUGUACCUGGGAAGACCGCGAUCUUAGAGCGGGUAUCAUUGCGAAGUUGGAGUUGCAUGCCAUCUACGUCGGCUACUGGACGACUCUUCUUUGGCUGCGUUUUGCUCUAUCUUACUCUCUUAGUUUUGUUGCUGAUUCCCGGAGAUCCGAGUUUCUCGCCGAGGUACUUCUCCGUAGCGUGCGACGGUGUCGCAGACUGUGUUCCUGUUCUGUGCUCUGUGGUAGUGCUAUGGUGGUGUCGAUGGCUACUAGUUUCUGUUUUGUCUACGCUUCGGUUGGAGCGACGGCCCCGUAUUUUUCCAGUGUUCUGUGUGUGGUUUCUCUCUUCCUUUGGUGACACUACAGAAAGGCAGGGAUCUGGAGUCCCGUGUUUUCUGGACGAGGCGGCACUGCUUGUUAUAGCUGUUCUGUUGCAGAAGUGGAUCCGAGCAAGAAGUGACUACAGUAAUAAGUUACGUGGAGUCAUAUAAUGCAAACACUGAAAAAAUUCAGCGGAAGCAUGAAUAGCAUAAAAUAACAUGCUAGUCUAAUAUGAAGAAGCAUAAGUCGAACUAUGUAUGUGGAGAAGUUCGAAACUUGGAUGCGCAUGUGGAGAAGGUAGGUGUGAUUUUGGCCACUGUGAUCACGUCUUGAUGUUUUGACAACGGGGAGGCCUGUGACAAGUCGGGAGUAGCUAUAGAAGGUCGAUUCCCUGAUGAUAAACUAGGCCGAAUCAUUCUUGAGGUAGGCUACCAUAAGGAUGCUUCCGUGAUAUUGGAAUGUUGUACGGUGAAUUUUAUUACAUAUGGUCCUUGCACAUGAAUCAUGUUUGAAUAACAAUAUGAAUCAUAUGAUUUUUGCAGGAGGGUUACAUGGUAUAUGAAUGCAAUCCUAGCUGUCUUUGUCGGGAAGACUGUCAGAACCGUGUCUUACAAGAAGUGACUAUUGUUGAUCGUCUAUCUCUGAUCGGGUUCUGGUUGUCUCUGUUUUUUCCGUUCUUCUCUCACUGCCGAUCUGGUCGCAUCUUCUUUGUGUUGUGGAUUCCGCUUUUGUUAGCUGCCGAUCUGGUGGCUGAUCCCUCCCUAUUCCGCUGGGUUCUUGGUUCUGUCGUGCUGAUUUCCACUGUCGUCGACAAUCCUGGCGCUGGUUGCUGGGAUUCUGGCCUUGGUUGGGCAACCGGAUCUUCUAAGACUUGGCGAACUUUCCAACGGAGGCCGCAGGUUCAGGCUCUGCAGUUGCUGGGUGGGAAGCUACCUCGCGUUGUCGUUGCUCAUCACGGCCAAGCUACUGCGCCGCUUAUUAUUCCAUGCUCUUCUUGUUCAUCAGUCCUAUUUUCACACAAGUUCUUCCGUUAUUUUAUUACCAUAUACCGAAUUCUCCAAAAGUAACAAGUCUGGUCGGAUCAGACUUGAUUCUUGCGUUCCAUAAUUUAGCAUUUCAGUUUCCAAUUCUUAAAACUCCUUGUAGGCAGUGAAGCAGAGAAUUGUUGGAGGUCCAGUAGGUGCUCAUCUCAAUCCGUGAAUUCAUCACACUGGAAUCCAAGAAGCAUCUAGUAUAGUUCUUCAUUGGGUUGUUGUGGGUGGAUCAUGAUGUCUUGGCUCACAGUUUGGCUUCGGUGAGUGAUGCAGUGAAGUGGGGUCGGACGUGUUGCUGCUGCUGUUGGCGGUAGUGUCGACCUUGGCUUAUAAUAAGAAGGGUGCUGGCUUGGGAGCGAAGUUUGGAACCGUAAUGGUUGGAGAAGUCCCUGCAAGAUGGAUUGUUGGGCUUGGACAUUGUGUCGUCGCUGUCGUCAUUGCCUCGUUGGGCUAUUGCCGUUCCACUCGGUGAGCUGGGAAUGAGCUUGUUCAUACUUCGUCAAAAGCUUCAUAUCCAGAUGAGAACUUCGAGAAUGUAUGAAAUUUAUAUUCGGAUAAAAUCAAGUUGGAUGAAGCUAAGUUAAGGAUUUACGAAGUUAGGGUUGUAUGAAUACUUCAUAUCUAGAUGAACUUUAGUGAAUGUAUUCUCAUUUGUGAAAGAAUUAUAGUUACAAAAUGAAUUAUUGUCAAUGGAUGAAACCUUUUAAAAUUGA